CUUAGAGUUUCAGGGUGACAUGAAGAGUGUGAAGUGAACCACCUAUCACCAUGCUACUGCAAUACUUCAUGACACUUUCUUGAGCAUCAGGAAAUCUCAACAUGUGGAGUUAUGCUGUUGGUUGCAGUGAAUUCCAUUAUUUUUACGGUUUUUUCAUCAUGAACAUUGCAGUGUGCUUCUUAGAAAAGAGCACGCAGUUUCUUGUGGUCCUGGCACGGAGAUUCUUGUGCCAAAUUGACAUUUGUCCAUGACGGAAGAGGGACUUCCAUCAAUGUUCUUCUCCGUCCUUUUCUUCGCGACGCACGCUCAUCUAGUUUCACUGCUUCUAAACACAAUUGGGUUUUACUUCACUGGCGACUUGGCGAGUAUUCUGGAUAACUUCAGUGAUCGCUUCCGUCCGCUGUUAUACACCUGCAGUCACUCACCACGGGAUUAUGCCCAGCUCCUUUGCACGGGCCGCGCUGUUCGGUUUCGUGGUU